rnacentral:rRNA from 1 species
GUGGGGAAUAUUGGACAAUGGGCGCAAGCCUGAUCCAGCCAUGCCGCGUGAGUGAUGAAGGCCUUAGGGUUGUAAAGCUCUUUCGCCGGUGAAGAUAAUGACGGUAACCGGAGAAGAAGCCCCGGCUAACUUCGUGCCAGCAGCCGCGGUAAUACGAAGGGGGCUAGCGUUGCUCGGAAUCACUGGGCGUAAAGCGCACGUAGGCGGAUCGUUAAGUCAGGGGUGAAAUCCUGGAGCUCAACUCCAGAACUGCCCUUGAUACUGGCGAUCUCGAGUUCGAGAGAGGUUGGUGGAACUCCGAGUGUAGAGGUGAAAUUCGUAGAUAUUCGGAAGAACACCAGUGGCGAAGGCGGCCAACUGGCUCGAUACUGACGCUGAGGUGCGAAAGCGUGGGGAGCAAACAGGAUUAGAAACCCUAGUAGUCC